rnacentral:rRNA from 1 species
GAAUAUUGGACAAUGGGCGAAAGCCUGAUCCAGCAAUGCCGCGUGUGUGAAGAAGGCCUGCGGGUUGUAAAGCACUUUCAGUAGAGAAGAAAAGCCUACGGUUAAUAACCGUGAGACUUGACGUAACAUACAGAAGAAGCACCGACUAACUACGUACCAGCCGCCGUGGUAAUACGGAGGGUGCAAGCGUUAAUCGGAAUUACUGGGCGUAAAGCGCGCGUAGGCGGCUUUGUAAGUCGGAUGUGAAAGCCCUGGGCUUAACCUGGGAAUUGCAGUCGAUACUGCAUGGCUAGAGUAUGGUAGAGGGAAGUGGAAUUUCCGGUGUAGCGGUGAAAUGCGUAGAUAUCGGAAGGAACACCAGUGGCGAAGGCGACUUCCUGGGCCAAUACUGACGCUGAGGUGCGAAAGCGUGGGGAGCAAACAGG